ensembl:ncRNA T21C9.14 ncRNA
UGAUAUAGAAACUUGUUUCGCAUCUUCCUACAUUUCCGUUGGUCAACCAGAUGUGUCCACUUGUGCCAACAAGAUGUCAAUUUGUCAAUCAGUACCUACACUUGAUCACAGGAGGAAAACACGAAAUCUAGAAGUGA